GACGAACGCUGGCGGCGUGCUUAACACAUGCAAGUCGAACGGAAAGGCCCUGCUUUUGUGGGGUGCUCGAGUGGCGAACGGGUGAGUAACACGUGAGUAACCUGCCCUUGACUUUGGGAUAACUUCAGGAAACUGGGGCUAAUACCGGAUAGGAGCUCCUGCUGCAUGGUGGGGGUUGGAAAGUUUCGGCGGUUGGGGAUGGACUCGCGGCUUAUCAGCUUGUUGGUUGGGUAGUGGCUUACCAAGGCUUUGACGGGUAGCCGGCCUGAGAGGGUGACCGGCCACAUUGGGUCUGAGAUACGGACCAGACCCAUACGGGCGGCAGGAGUGGGGAAUAUUGAACAGUGGGCGGAAGCCUGAUGGAGCAACGCCGCGUGCGGGAUGACGGCAUUCGGGUUGUAAGCAGAUUUCGCCUGUGACGAAGCGUGAGUGACGGUAAUGGGUAAAGAAGCACGGGUUAACUACGU
rnacentral:rRNA from 1 species